GCAUAUCACAUGCACAUGAUGAAGAGGUCAGUGAUCACAUCGCAAGCAAGCAAGAAGGAGGUUUUGAGGAGCGCAAGAACAAUUAGGAAUACACCAGAUUUCCAUCAGGCUGACCACGAACAAGGAGCUGCAUACACGUUUUCAAAACAUUAAAGUACAGGUUUGUCUGUGAAUAACAGGUAUUUAUCCCAACUUUAUAUUUCUUAUUAAGUAGCAAUUAGUAGAAACAUGACAAGUCAAUCUGGUGAAGAGCCAAGCCGCGUAGGAAAGUUUUGCACUGAAUUGAAUAUAGAUACAGAGAUUUUGGAGAAAGGGUUAUCUGGCGUGGCUGAAGGGUGGGUUAAACUGAAUCAUUUGAGGUUAGUUCGUGGGGUAGUUGGUGAAUUAGAUAAAUGGUGUAGAGACCAUAAAUACAGUGUCAAUGUACUUCCCAAUUUGAUAGCAACCCUGUUUGAUGUGGGUGACGUAGAUACGGAUAACAAGGCGGUGAAAGUUAGGGUCCAGAGAGCAGUUGAUGCUGUUCGCAAAGCACAAAAAGCGAGGGGAAAGUCGAGGGAUGAAAAUCUUGAAGUCAUUGAGAGAACACUGUUCACAUUACCUCACACAAGCAGAGAACAGAGGCAAAUAGUAGAUGUAGCACUUCAUGCUGAUGCAGGAGAGGGGGAUGUCCCACCCAUACCUGAUAGGGAGCUUGUGGAGAUUCGUGCAGAGAGGGAUAGUUUAAGAGAUAGUCUUGACAGUAUUCGACUUGAGAAAGAUCAGAAAUUUCGGGAAUUGUGCAACUCCAAACAAAAAUUGACUUCUGAAAUUGCUAGGACACGUGUACUAAAAACCUGCCUGAAGAGAAAUGCUAAGAAAAUUAAAGAUCUGGAGACGAAAUUAGAUACUCUCGUGAGACAGAAAAUAAAGGCUCAAAAUAGAAAACGUCGAAACGCUAGGGCUAGGGCUAAGAGGAAACAAGGUGUGCUGAAACAAAGGGUGGUAGAUCAAAGUGUGGUGGGACAAAACAUGAUGGGACAGUUAGAAGCUAGCUUAAGAGCAGAGCUGAAGACAUACAAAGCCAAUUUGAAAGUCGCUCGAGAAGAGAUAAAAGAAAUGAAGAAAAAUGUAGGGGAAGUGGAAGCAAAAUACAGGGAAAGGGUUGAGCUUAACAAACUUCUAGAGCAGAAGAGAGUGACUGAGAGGAACAGGAUACUCAGUCGAAACAGAUACGAUAGGAAAGUAGGCCGUAAGAGGGUAAGAGAUAAGAUCCAAAAAGAGAGGGAGCAAGAAAGGCUGGCAUUGAAGAAGUCGCGGGAGGAAACUAGGGGGCUCAAGAAACGAAUUAGAGAGCAAAACUUGUUUACACUGGAAGAAGAGAGUCCAAAGAAGAGAUUAAAAGCAGGGAAGCAAUAUAACGCUAAUAUACGGAGUGUCUACCUUGAUUUGCUAAAUAACUAUGGCGUUAGUACCAGAAAUUGUGAAGGGGUGGUCAAAACAGUGCUUGAAAACUUGACAUCUAUGGAAAUCCCAGAUCUACCAAAGAAGAGCACAGCUCAAAAUUUGCUAUUGGAAGGGAGGAAAAUGGCCCAAAUCCAGGUAGCCGAAAGCUUAGCACAUAAUGAUUUGACUUUGGGUAGUGAUGCAACCUCCAAAUUCGGCCAUCACUACACCUCUUUUGAUGUAUUUGAGGGCGAAGGGGGUUCUGGUUUGAUAGUGGGCAUGCGCGAGACAGAUGACGGUACAGCUGACACGACAAUGCAAACAUUAAAGACAAUUUUGCAAGAUGUUGUGGGGCAGCAGGAUGAAGAGGCGCAAAAUCAAGCUGUAAAUACUGUACUGGCCAACAUAAAGAACACAAUGAGUGAUAGGCACAUUGUUCAGAAGAAAUUCAAUGAACUCCUGAAGGAUUACAGGCAAUCCAUCCUUCCUAGCAUAAUUCAGGGAUGGAAGGGCAUGAGUGAGGGUGAAAGGGAUCAGUUUGCAUCCAUGAAUAAUUUCUUCUGUGGACUUCACUAUCUCGUGGGAUUAGCAGAGUAUGCAGGGAAAACACUUGGUGCUUGGGAAGGGAUGAUUUUCAAUGACAAAGAGGUGGGUGCUGCAGCUAGUAGUGAAAGUGGGAACAGUACUGAAAGUGGUACAGAACGCCUCAUUCGUACUGUAUGCAAAUCUGUGCAGGACCGUGCUUGCGAGAAGUCAGGAAAACCAUUACAAUUCAGGACAUUUCUCAAAUCAAAGGGCAUUUCAACAGUGCCUCUUGCCCCUUUCAAGGGGAAUAGAUUCAACAUCCUCUUUCAUAAUGCCGCGGGUGUUGCUUACCUGCUACCAGAGUUGCUGGAAUUCUUUGAUAAACACAAAGAUGAUAAUGAACUUAUGAAAGGUGUUCACGCUGAUCUUGGCAUCAAGCAAUUCAUUGCAGGCGCCCGUGCGCUUGGUUUGAUUGACAAAGUGGUUACAGGCCCUUUGUGGCGCACAAUUAAUGAGAAGGGGCAUAUAGCAGACAUGAAUGACCGAUACAGAGUUAUUCAUCAGGGUUUUUCAAGGUGGUCAGAUGAUAGCAGCCAAUUCAUGAGGGGUAAGGAUAUCUUGUUUGAUGACAUUGAUAUCAAGAAAGAUGAAAUCUAUCACUCACUGGUGCAAGUUAAUCCAGAGUUAGAUGAAAUGACAAAGCAGAUUCUAGAAUUGGUUUUCUUGACUUUUUGCCAAGUCACGGAAAAGAUGUUAGCGGAUCACUUGCCAUCCGGCUCACAUACAGCAAUGAAUGAGAAAAAGAAGAGGGAAACAGCCAGUGUACCGAAGACUAAUGUAGGUGUAGAACGAGACUUUGGAAUGCUUGAUAGAUUGAUGCGCUUAAAACCAGCUGCAAGUACAAUGGUGUAUGAGGGGGUCAUUAUGAAUGUUAGGAAUAGAACUAGGGAAUGGAGAAAGGGUCUCACUGAAAUGAAAAGGGAGGAGUACAUGGAGUAUUCCCGAAAGAGCGUAAAGGCACAGAGGGAGGAAUAUGCGCGUAGAGUGAAGACCCUGUGGGCUAAUAGGGAAGCUAAACGAAAAAGUAAGAAGCAAAUAGCUCAAGAACGGGAGGAUAGAAAUAAGGUUAGGACUGAAAAAGUGUACGCUAGUGUAAGGAGCAAAUGCGGCGGAAUCUGGCUAUCAGAGACUGAAUUAGAUUCUCAGUUGAAAGGGGUGGAUGAUAAGCAUGCCAUUGAGAUGCUUCAAUCUCAGUUACAGGCUAGGAGACAUGUCUUUGGAGAAAAGAAUGUUGAGGGUAAUCUUAACAUCUCUGUCAAGGGUAGAAGGAAGAGUUUGUCAGAACUAAAACAGUCCCUAAGAAGUGUAUUAAAGACAGCCAAUGACAGGAUCAUUAAUGUAGAAGAACAGGAAGAAGUCGACUAUACUAACGCUGUAGCACCCACUGAAAAGGUAGAAGAGUUCAGGGAAAAGACACGGGAGAAAAUGGCAAAAGAAAAGGCUCGGGCAGUGAAAGGCAAGGACUUAGAAUAUGAUAACUUAGUGGGGAAGAUAGUUGAGCAUCUAACAAGUAGUGAAGAUGGCAGUGAGGAAGGGUGGUACCGGGCAAUAGUCACUGGAAAAUCCAAAAGAGGCCUUAGCCUUAGCUAUGAUAUAAACCCACAGACGAUCAUUACCCAUCCAAAGAGAGACAUAGAACAAGAUCUACAGAACGGGGACCUCAAGAUUGUAGAUUUAAAUGUUGAGGAUGUAGUAGGGAUGGAUGUUAUGCAUCAAUUUGAGGUCGGAGAUGAAAGGAUAUGGUAUAGAGGGUUCAUAUCAUCUGUCACCGGCCCCAGUGAAUGCCUCAUCGAGUAUGACUAUUUAGAAGAUGAAAACGAUGAGGAUAGCGACAUAAUAGAUAAUACCUGGGUCGGACCAGUUUUAGAACAUUAUCGUAAUAAUUACCUCAGGUUUGUUAGAGCAUAGAGGGUGUAGGCCUAAAGCAAGCAAAGGGCUAGGAUGGCAGUUAGUGUGAUAAAGUAUGUGAGUGGAGUAUGAUAGUAAUCUACUUUGCUAGAAAAAUUUGAUCGAAUCCCCUUCUACCCUUUUUUAUUAUGCGUUGGUAUCCUUUUUGUGUUAAUUUGCUUUCUUUGAUUUUCUUAAUUUGAUGAUGAAUUCCCUCUCAGGGCCAGAUAGCCUAUUGUAAUUAUAAUAUUUCACCUGAAAAUUACUAUAUAAUGGAACUGAUUGAAUACUCAAAUGGGUUUGUUUUUUGUAGAAAAACAAUUUUACAAUAAGAAAGUCAAUUUCAGUAAUAAUACAAUUGAAACAAAUCUUGUGAUACAUUGUCCCAUAUUUAAUAGGUAAAUUGUGUCUAUCACAAGAUCUUAUGUAGUGCCUCCAUCCUCUUGAAAUUAAUUUUCAUCACGCAUCACUGAUUGCUGCCUUGCUCCCUCUCGAGUGGAUGCUCUUCCUCUCUGUCAUGAUUCACUAGUAGUAUCUUCGAAGAAAGUUUGGAGAAUCUUGAAGGAUAAGCUCUUGAGAGCUACUGCAGAUAUUAACCGUACAGUUCUUCUCCGUAGAAAUAAUGCAGCGAUGAACUGAAGACAUCUAUGGAAUGCUACACGAUUCAGUAAUCUAUGAAGUGCAGUAAGCUUCUGUUUGUAGAAUUAUCACGCCAAAUGUUGUAAAAACCAUUGUAAAUUUGAGUGAACAGGAAUAAUCUUGACAAAUGGUAAAUAUCAGGAAGCGGCAUAUAGUAAUCGUAUAUAGGGUCCUGCGGUAUAUCUUUGAUGUGUAACUCAAAUGUCCAUACACAUACUAGAAAAAAUAUUGCUGCUAAGUGCUAAUGUUGGGGCUGUUAAAAUAUUGUUGUACUUGCUUAGGGGGUCAGAGUAAUUAGGAAAUACUUGUUAAGAGACUAAGAGUACGUUUUGGUUCCAAUACUUGUGAAGGGUAGGAUUUCACACGCCAAUACUUGUUAAAGGAUGCAUUUUCAGAACAUGGAAAAUACUUGUUUAGGGUACUUUUCGAAACCCCAUGUUCACGCAUGGUAUCCACUCGUCAGUGGAAGUGCCCCCUUCCCCCGGGAAUUCCAGUGCCUUCCUCAACUCUAAUGCAAGUUCUUUUUCUCAUUUUUUUUAUGAAGCAAGUCCCAACCCAUUUGUUGAAAUCAUGAAGGUCUACAAUGAUAAGCUCUUACAUUACCUUUAAAAAUUCACGAGUUGAUUAAAAUUAUUUCAUUUGUUUAUCAUGCCUUGGUAUGGCAAUGUGUUUAAUUUGAACAUUUACUGUUAAAUGAAAUUAAACUUGAAUGAUUGCGGUCAUGGAUUCAACCUGUUUAAAUGAACUGUGUUUUGCUUUAAUCUGGAAUGGGAUCCAAGUGCUAUCCCCCUCAGGAGCAUGCAGUGGUAUAUAGGUUCACUCUAGCUUCUUCUGUUUUUAAUGAGAUGGUAGAGCAAAUAUUUAUAUAAUAUUGACUGGUCUUGAGGGGAACAUCAAAUAUAUUGCCAGCAAAAGAAUCAUAUUGGCCCGAGUCUUUAGACGAGGGCAAUAUGGGUCUUUUAAGGGCAAUAUAUUUGAUGUUCCCCGAAAGAAGGGCAGUCAAUAUUUUUAUUAUCAUCCAAAUCAGAUAUCUAGAGCAAAAAUCAUGAUAACAGUGAUAUCUUUUAAGAAUAGAGUUCUGUUGUGUCAUGAUAAUAUCAGUGUCUAGGCUCUGCACUUUACCAUUAUGACGUACUUGCAAGCGCCCAGAUCCAGCGUUGUCUUUAUUAUGACGUAGAUCGUUGGUGCGCGGAACAUUAUGAAGCAUAUCACUUCAUUCGCAUCCUCAUCAAAGGCCCGGAUGUGAGACCAGGGAAAAUACAAAGGUAUAUUUUGCGUUGUCUCUGCAUGCAAAGUCAAUACGCGCAUUGAGACCGAGGAAAAUACAAACAAUGUACCUAUCCCUUCCUGAUAAUAAUAAAAUACAGGGAAAUACGGUUUUGUAAAUGACCAGCUCAGAUGUCUGAUACGGGUGAUAAUCAGUAAUAUUGCAUAUUGUUAAGUAAUUCACUUCUUUAAGUUGACAAUGAACAAUGAACAUGUAUUUUGUAUCACAUGUCAUUAUAUG